rnacentral:rRNA from 1 species
GUCUGUGGCCAUGCUAUCCUGAACAAGCCUGAUCCCAUCUGAUCUCAGAAUCUAAGGAGGGUCGGGCCUGGUUAGUACUUGGAUGGGAGACAACCUAGGAAGACCAGGUGCUGUAGGGG